rnacentral:misc_RNA from 1 species
AAUCUGGAUCAUUGACCAAAAGAGGUCGCCCUCCCAUCCCAGCAGACGAUCCGAUUAAAUUAUUUCGUUAAAUGUUAUGAAGAAGUCGGGUUUCUGUUUCGGAGCUCCGUAAAUGUUUCUUAAGUCAUGUAAGUGUGCAGGUCCCAUCUAGAGUCUCGGAAGCAUUGUCAUUGAAGAAGUGCAACGAAAGCAAAACUCAAGUUUUAAUUCAACUUGAAAAUUUGGAGGAUAUGUUGAUGUGAUCCAGACUGUGAAACAUCUACAUUUAACUUUUUUUAGCCAGACUUUCAACUUUGCUUUCAAAAUCUGCGUCAGAACACCAACAAUGGCCAAUCUCUUUGUGGCAUACGUUCUGUGGUUGUUCCUCGGAUGGCUAGGCGUGCAUCAUUUCUACUUGGGUCGCGACAGACAGGCGUUCGUCUGGUGGUCGACGUGCGGCGGCAUUUUCGGGUUAGGCUGGUUCCGGGACAUCUGGCGCAUACCGUCGUAUGUGGACGCCGCCAACAGAGAACCGUACUACAUGACGCGUCUGAAAGAAAAGAUUGCUAUGCGUAAAUAUCCGUCAUUCGACCCUGUGCGCUUUAUCGGUCAAACAUGCUUCGGGACCUUCAUGGGAUACCUCUCCAUGCUGACGAUUUCGGAGGAGUAUCACGUCGAAAAUCCCAUUCCUAGAAGCUGUUUGGUGCCAUUUGCUGUUGCAGUGGCCGUCCACAUUGUUGGGAACAUCGGCUGGGAGACGGUCUCCUUUAAGUGGGCCCUGGCUGGACCAUGUAUACUGGCACUCGUGUUCCCCGGUAACCCACAUAUCAUCGUCUACAUGGCCUUGUUGAGCUCUAUUCUGUCACAGUGGGAUCGCGGCUUCAAAACGGUCGAACCACCUCCAGCGGCGAGUUCAAGACAGCGGGGAUUCUGCACGCGAGUCUUCGUGCUUUGCUUGGCAGGGUCGUUAGUCAUUUCCAUGUGGGGGUCGGCCUUGUACUUCAACGCCUCGGUCACGACCUCCGACGGCGAAACCAUCAAAUUCCGAGAUGCGGUUGAUCACUUUUUCAAUUCUCCCUUCUGGAAGCAGUUCAAGGAGACCGUCCAGCAGCUGUUUAAUGAGUGGCAGGAGAGUGGUUGGGAGAAUAUGUGGAGUCGGUUCGUAGCGGCCUUAGAUCCGGAGGGAGAGCAGAAUGCCUAUGAGGUGUUGGGACUUUCCAAGAAUGCCACUAAAGAAGAAAUCACCAAGCGCUACAGGCAGCUCGCCAAGCAGUUCCACCCGGACAAGAACCUCAAAGGGAACCAAGAAGAGGUCGCGGAGAAGUUCAUGCAGAUCCAGGCCGCCUACGAGACGCUGACGAAGAUCAGAGACAGGAGGUCACGGACGAAAAGAUACUACGACAGUUCGGACUGAUCGUUGUUAGGUAGGUCAAAGGUCAGAAUCUCCAAGGUCAGGGGGCAAUCUGAAGGAGCUUUCUGUGCACAUAAUUUAUUUACCCCAUAGAAUAUUUUGCCGACCUAAUUUUGGUUAGAGUCAGCAUGCACAUUUAGCACGCAAAAAAUGGGGACUCCAAUUGGCUCCAAAUUUUCGUCGGUACAGAAAAUAUUUCCCAACAUUUUUUUGGUUACCAACAUUUUGGCCCGAAACUUUUGGCACCAGAACAGCUAAUGAAAAUUUAGCAAGCACAAGAAAUAUGUUUGAAUGAGAUUUUGCCUGCCAAUAUGCAAAUUCUGGACCCGAAAUUUUGCACUAAAAUUGGCACAAAUUUAAUCAACAGAAAACAUUUCCUGAGAACAUGUUGGUUACAGGCAACGCUUAACUUUGCCACAAAAAUUUAUAAUGCACAAAAAAUAUCCAAAGAAGCUUUUGUUACCAUGGUUACAGGCCAAAAUGCAAUUUUUCCCCCUUUUUUGACAUAUGAAUAUGCAUGUAUUGAACUUUCUGCUUGCAAAUAAAUGAACUAAUUUUUUUCACAUCAGUAUAAAUAAAAUUUGUAAACACUUCUUCAGGAGCUUAUUUUGAAAUCUGCGUGUAUUUUUGUUUUAACCAAUGUAAGGUGAAAUGCGUUACUUAAAUUUAGUUUUCAGAAUAUAUGCCAAAAUGUAGAUUUGCCUUGAAUUUGGGGCGAGCACUUGUAAAUUUAAGGGUAAUUUCCUAUUUUAUUAACAAUUUCUAUAAAUUUCUAUUUUCAAAAUUUAUACACAAUCUUACCCAAGUCAUCUGUUAUUUUUUUUCAAAAUUCAAAUCAUGUUGUGUUAAACAAAUUAGAAUUACUUAACUUUUUUAAAUUUGCUGCAUGGUAAUUUAAGGUAAUUAUGGAUAAAUACAUUUUUCGCUUCACUCUAUUAUGGAGUACUUGAUUUCUGAUAAUUUUACGCAAGAAAAACCUUUGUGGAAAUAUAAUGCACUCUGAUUUAACUUGUUUUUGAUGAUACAAUAAUAAAUCAAAUUAUUAUAAUUUUAACAAUCA